AUGAGCAGGUUCAUGCCAGGCCUGGACUGUCUGCCACGCCUCUCCUGCUCUCCCUUCUGACCCUAGUGGCACUGAACCCCAGCCUUGACCCAGUCACAGGUUGUGGCCUAGGGCCAAACUUAUAUAGAGUCCAGACAAAUGAGGGUUCUGUAUCUAGUCUGAGAGUAAAGAGGAAGUCUAGGGAGAGGGGUCUAGAGGGAGUAAAAAUGGCUUAAAAAUGUGAGGCAGAGUUGUACAAAGUCAUCAGCCUCACUCUCUCUUCCUGACUAGUUGCCAAUGGGAUGACCUGGACCAAGCCAAGGAUGAGGUGAGGAAAUGGAGGCAAACAGAGUUAAAUGACUUACCCAGGAUCACACAGCUAGCAAGUAUCUGAGAUAAGGUUUGAACCCAGGACUUCUGACUCCAGGCCAGGCACUCUACCCAAAACACUACCACCUUCUGAGUAAGGGACAAUCUUGCUUUCUUAUUUUUUACAGGUCCUGGCAUAUACAUAUAAUAAGCAAUUAAUAAAUGCUCUCUGUCUCCUUCUUGGUUUGUCUGUUUCUCUUAUUUUAUAGCUAAGGAAAUUGAUACUGAAAGUUAAGUGACUUGGCCUCAGUGGCAAUCCAAGAUUUGCUUCCUCGUAUCCAGGUCUAAGAUCCGUGUUCUUUCAGCCUGAGGGAAAAGCAAAAGUAACUAUGUUUGAGAAUGAAACCUACAGCUUGAUCCUUAUUAUUGAACUUGAACCUUAUUUGUGAACCAAGAUCAGAGAAAAGUGAAGCAAUAUUUCACCAGGAAGUUUCUGGAGAAUUUUUGAGCUGGACAUGUUGACUUUCCCAUGCAAAGGUUCAUUCACUUGUCCCAAAAGAGGGAUUCAGUGUGGGAAAGAGUUCAUCAGGGCUGUGAGAAGAUCAGCUAGUCAGAUGGAGAGGCCCAGGAGUGUGAUAUGGUGGAAUGGACCAUUACCCCUGAAGCAUUGUUCAUCCCAGGAAAUUUGAACUUCCUCUGAUAACUGGUAAAACUGGGGAAGUGACUCAAGGUGGAUCUGAGCCCUAGCUAAGGUGCUUCAUGAUGCCUGGCUCUCCUCUCACCAGCACCCAAUCAGGCAGCACUAUGGAUUAUAUUGACAUGGAGAGGAUAUAACAUUGUAAAUAGAAGACUAGCCUUAGAACUAAGAAGACUUGGAUUGAAAUCCUGCCUUAUAUACUUAUUAACCAGGUGAUCUUGGGUCACCUCUUUCACUAUGGAAGUCUACUGUCAGAUGCAAAGAAUAUCUGUAACACCUUUCUCUAAGAAACAAUGUUUAUUGGCCUCUUGGUCCAAAUUUAACUAUUGUCUUCAGCAGACAGUCUACGAUGACAGCUGAAUCUCUUUCUCAAGACCAGAGAUCCAGAAGAAGAAUUUGGAAUAUUUCUCUCUAAAUGUGUGAGCUUAUAUUGGCCAACACUGAAGCCCAUCUACCCUUUUUUUCUGUUCUUUCUGUUUCAUAAGAUCUUUCUGAAGUUUCUCCACUUCAGCUUGAUUUUUAAGUAUCCCAAGGGAAUAAUAACCUAUUUAGGGACCUUGGGACAUAAGAUAUAUUGGCACAUUUGUACAGCUGGAGUGGGGAAGACAGGUGGGAACUCACAAUAAAAAAAAUGGGCAAGUCAUUCAACCCCCAUUGCCUAGUCUUUACCACUCUUCUACCUCAGAACCAAUACAUAGUAUUGAUUCUAAGAUGGAAGGUAAGUUAGGGUUUUUUAAAAACUCACAUUUUAAGGUUUUCUGGGAAGAGAGAAAGAGACAAAUAGAGGGAAGAUUUUAGAUAAUGUAAAAACAAAAGAUAUCCAUCAAAUUUCAAGUUCUAAAUUCCCUCUCUCCCCUUCUCUCCCCCUUAUUUAGAAGACAAGGGAUAGGAUAUCAAUUAUACAUGUAAAGUCAUAUCAAACAUAUUUCCAUAUUAGCAAUAUCAAGACAGUCUUCUGGAGCUGAGUGAGUAGCUCCUGAUCCUCCUUCAUCUUCUCCUAAGAACCUUCAUGUGAGCUCUUGGACAGAUGGAUUUCCCCCUGCCUGAGCCUCUUUCCUUUCUCUUCAGACAGGAGCCAGGGAAAGACCAUGAGGUAUGUGCUAAGGUCAGAAUUCUGACUCUUUUGUAUCAUUUACUCCUCAAGCACCUCUAGUGCUCAGAGUGAAAUCCAUGACUGCCUCAGAACAUUGUUUUUAAAUGUAUAAAGUAAAAUACAUAGGAUUAAAAGGAAAAACAAUUAUGUUGAAAUAAGAUGCAUUUUUCCCCCUAUUUAAACUCACAGAACUAACUCCUGAAAUUUAUUCACAGAGUUCAUAGACCUCAGGUAAAGAAAUCUUAGGCUAGAGGAUGGCCUUCCAGCCCCUUCCUCUGUCUCCAUGAACUGCACACCUAUGUCUCUCUGUACCUUUGGGAGGAGUCUGGUGGCAAGAACAGGUCACUCCCUGUCCUUUUUGAAGGCACGUAUCUCUCUUCCUGCCUUGCACUUGUCUAAUAUGUUGUAUUAUUCUUUCUUAAGAGUGUAGGUGACUUGAGGAAACCAUGACUCAUUCACCAUUCAUUCCCCACCCAGGUGCUGCAGUGUCCUCUCCUAUGGGUGGGGGAGGCAGGUGUUUUCAGGUGGAUGGAGAAAAGAAGCUGCUGUAGCAAUGGGGUGAGUGCCAAGAAGAGAGAGAGAAGGACAGACAGAGCCUGUGUAAUAGAUGGCAAAAAAUGAAAAUGAAACAAACUAUAUUGAUACAAAGUAUUAUUAAGUUUGUUAUUAUUACUCAUUAAUUUAGUAAUAAACUAGUAGUAACAGUAAUUGCACUGAUGUGGAGGAGGCUGAAACACCAAGGGGGAUGAUGGAAAUCAUACAAAAGCAAGGGGGAGAAAGAGAGAGGCAGAGAGAGACAGAGACAGAGACAGACAGAUAGAUGGGGGAGGCAGAGAAGAAAAAGACAGAGAUAGGAAAGACAGACCAACAGAGACAGAGAGAAAGAGAGGCAGAGAGACACAGAAACAGAGACAGACAGACAGACAGACAGACAGA